rnacentral:rRNA from 1 species
AGGCCUAAUACAUGCAAGUCGAACGGCAGCACAGCAGAGCUUGCUCUGUGGGUGGCGAGUGGCGGACGGGUGAGGAAUACAUGGGAAUCUGCCCAGUCGUGGGGGAUAACGUAUGGAAACGUACGCUAAUACCGCAUGCGCCCUAAGGGGGAAAGCCGGGGACCGCAAGGCCUGGCGCGAUUGGAUGAGCCCAUGUUCGAUUAGCUAGUUGGCGGGGUAAAGGCCCACCAAGGCGACGAUCGAUAGCUGGUCUGAGAGGAUGAUCAGCCACACUGGAACUGAGACACGGUCCAGACUCCUACGGGAGGCAGCAGUAGGGAAUAUUGGACAAUGGGCGCAAGCCUGAUCCAGCCAUGCCGCGUGAGUGAAGAAGGCCCUCGGGUUGUAAAGCUC